GAGCCAAGGUCACAUACCAGAUCCUAAAUCCUGGCAGAGCUUUAUGGAGCCCAGUUCUGGCAGGCUCCCAGGACUUGAAGCCACCAGACCGCACAUGGAACCCAGGGCCACGUGUUCAGUUGCUGCACCCUUGGUGGAGAGACAGUUCCGUGUUCUUGUGGGUGUCACUGGGAGUGUUGCAGCCCUGAAGUUGCCUCUUCUGGUGUCAAGGCUUUUGGACAUUCCUGGCCUGGAAGUAGCAGUGGUCACAACUGAGAGAGCCAAGCAUUUCUACAGUCCCCAGGAUGUUCCUGUCACCCUCUACAGCGACGCUGAUGAAUGGGAGAUGUGGAAGUGCCGAUCCGACCCAGUUCUCCACAUUGACCUGCGGAGGUGGGCAGACCUCAUGCUGGUAGCUCCUCUCGAUGCCAACACGCUGGGAAAGGUGGCCAGUGGCAUCUGUGACAACUUGCUUACCUGUGUCAUCCGGGCCUGGGACCGCAGCAAGCCCCUGCUCUUCUGCCCGGCGAUGAACACCGCCAUGUGGGAGCACCCCGUCACCGAGCAGCAGGUGGGCCAGCUCAAGGCCUUCGGCUAUGUCGAGAUCCCCUGUGUGGUCAAGAAGCUGGUCUGUGGAGACCAAGGAAAAUGAAAUAUUCUGAAUUCUCAUCUUCUACAAUGAAAACUAAAACAAACAAACAAAGAUAAUGUUUCCAGGCUUCUUGUUUCCAUCUUCUUGAAAGAUGCCUAAUGCUUUGGACAAAACAAUAAGAAAAUUGAAAGAUGGUGGAAUAGUAAUGAUUCAUAUCACUAUUGAAUCAUCCUUCCAGCUCAUCAGGAGAGUGUGUCUUUUGAGGUGCGUGCCUUGAUGUGGUGCCAGAGGCUCAUGGAAACACGUGGUUUGCUUGCCUCUAUUGAGGUUGUGAUUCCUCCACCACUUUGCUUAGUCAGCCAGGAACAAUGCAGAUGAGUUUCCUUUUGGAGGAACUGCUCGUCGGGGGCUUGUGACGCAUGUUGGUGCACAGGCCCUUGGAGGCCCUGUACGUCAGCCUGUGGUCAGGGCUUCCAGUCUCGGAAGGUGGACUGUGUCCACACAAGGAGCUGCAAGACGGUGGCUGAGAGACGCUGCGAGCCGGGGAAGAAACCCUCUUCCUGGCAGCACUGCCUGGGGCCUUCCUGUGAUAGUACGUACCCCUCUCAGGUAUUGUGACCACCCCAAAGCCUUGUGCAAACCGGACCACUUGGAGCCAACCUUGUCAGGGUCUCGUCCGCAGGGCCAUUCUGAACGUAUGUGGUAUCUUGGGACAUCAGGAGAUUAGCUGCUUUGAUGUGGGUGCAACUUGGUGUUCCAGGUACGUGGGGAGUUUCUUGCCUUUUGGGAGGUUUGAGGUCUUCUGCCAGCGUUCAGUAGGUGUUCUGUAGGAGUUGUUCCACAUGUAGAUGUAUUUCUGAUGUAUUUGUGGGGAGGAAGGCGAUCUCCACGUCUUACUCUUCUGCCAUCUUGAACCUCCUCCAAAGGCUCACUUUAAAUAGAAGGACACAGAAAGGUUAAAGGUUAGAAGGCAAUGUCAUAUAAAUACUAAUCCUCAAAAAAGCUGAUAUGGACACAUGAACAUUAGAAAUUUUAAGUUAAUAAGUAUUAUGAGAGAAAAAGAAGACUAUGUCAUAAUAAUCAAAUUCCUAAGGUACUAUCUAUUUGGCCCAACUAGUACAGCCAGACCAGGUUAUAAACCACUAGCUGUGAACUGACUGCCCUUUCCCAUCCCCAGGAUGUACUGGUGCUAAGGAGAGCUGCCCUUUCAGCAGCUCUAAGGAGGAAGGUGUGGGCCCCUUGCCACGCCUUCUGGUUUGCUCCUAACAUCUCUGUGUUUAAUGUCCAAAAGGGUACCCAGGUGUCACUGACCAUGCUUCCCUUAUCCUAGGCAAGUGCUCAGCUACUAGGAUCUCAGUCUGAAUCUGGGGUGUACAACACUCCAAGCUUGACUUUGAGCUGCAGUCCUGCCAGGAUCCCCAUCCCAGAGCCCGUGGCCUUAGAGUGGGGGUUGACAGUCCCUGGAAAAUCCUAUCUUGUUUGGCCUUAGCCACCGUUCUCAUGGACAGUGACCAUGUGGGCUCAUGACUGUGGCUCAGCCUCUUCCCUCACCCCAGUGGACAGGCAGGUCUUUGCUACCAACGUGUUGGGCAGGCUGCAUAGGGCAGGACAUGCAGCUCCCCAACAGGGCCACAGUUCAUGGCUAAUAUACCUAAACAAUCAUCUCUCAAUUUCUGUGACCUCCCUUCUAUGCCACAGAGAAAGCAGUGGGACAGGGUAGGCCACACUAUGUCUUGGGUCUGUCUGUGGCCGUAUGCCUGGCUCCUGCCUCAAUUACUAGCUCUAAUCUUUAGCACUUGCCUCCUUCAGGCACCAUUCCAUCCCUCCAGCUCCAACUGCUCCUGCCCCACUGUUGGGAUCCCUCCAUUUGAAAGAGGAGGUGAGAUGCCUUUCAUGGUUCUCCAUCUCUGGCUCCCCUUCCUCCCAAUUCUGCAAACUUUCAAGGCCCUGCCCAUAUGGUUUGACAGGCCUCAGCAACAGUUUUUGCCUGCCUGGCUAGUCCUUACCCCUGCUCACCUGGGCAGAUCCUGACCCACUCCAGGUCAUAACCUGGACUAAUUUCGGUAGAGCCACCACUAGUAGUCACCUUGUCCACAAUGUUCUCUCAAGAGACAUUAUCUGUCUUGUUGGAGUCUAAUGUUCUCUGUGAGAUUUUAUUAGCUGUGGCAGGUGUAUGGCACAUGACAACUGGGAUGAAUGAUAUUAAUUAGUUUUAACCUCAUUCAGGGGGCUAAGGGGCUGAAGAGUAUGGGCUCUGCAGACAGGCCUGGGCUUGAAUUCCAUCUCUGUGAUUCUGACCUCUUUGAGCCUGAGCUUCCUCAUCUGUGAAAUGGAUUAAUAUCUACCUCCUAGGAGAGUUGUGUGGAAUAAGUAAGGUGAUGUUUAUGAAGUGCUUAGUAUAAUGCCUGGCACAUAGAUAAUGCUUAAUACCACAGAUGGUAGAUUGUUAUUUCUGAGGACCUCAGCUAUGUUAUAAAUAUUCUAAGUACAGAGACCAUAUUUCUAUUUUGUUGUAGCUGGGUUUCUCUAUCUUUUUAUUUUUUGAAUUCUGGAAUAUAUCAUAUAUACAAAGAAUAUGCCUUAUAUAACAUAU